GAUGAACGCUGGCGGCGUGCCUAAUACAUGCAAGUCGAGCGAACAGAUGAGGAGCUUGCUCCUCUGGCGUUAGCGGCGGACGGGUGAGUAACACGUGGAUAACCUACCUAUAAGACUGGGAUAACUUCGGGAAACCGGAGCUAAUACCGGAUAAUAUAUUGAACCGCAUGGUUCAAUAGUGAAAGACGGUUUUGCUGUCACUUAUAGAUGGAUCCGCGCCGCAUUAGCUAGUUGGUAAGGUAACGGCUUACCAAGGCAACGAUGCGUAGCCGAUCUGAGAGGGUGAUCGGCCACACUGGAACUGAGACACGGUCCAGACUCCUACGGGAGGCAGCAGUAGGGAAUCUUCCGCAAUGGGCGAAAGCCUGACGGAGCAACGCCGCGUGAGUGAUGAAGGUCUUCGGAUCGUAAAACUCUGUUAUUAGGGAAGAACAAAUGUGUAAGUAACUAUGCACGUCUUGACGGUACCUAAUCAGAAAGCCACGGCUAACUACGUG
rnacentral:rRNA from 1 species